ACAAGGGUGUCUUCCCAAGGCAUCCCAGCUUCCCUUUCAUCCACAUGGGAUACUACAGAGCAAUUUCUAGAGUGUAUUUCUUAGCAGAGUGUAGACUUUCAGUCUUCAUAACUUAACAGUUUUUCUCUGUUGCACAGAAAGCAAAUAUUCCACAUUAUCGCAGAAACCUAUGAAAUAUCUUUCUGUUUUGUCAAAUCAGCCACUUAUAAAAAUGUGAGGGAUAUUUCAUUAUAUGCUUCUGUGAUCUUGGUUUUGUCUGGGAUUAUGAAGUGUGUGUAUUGCCUACAUCCACUCUAUACCUUGCAUUAUCUUCAGUGAGCUUUUGCAGAGGUCUUAAAGACUUCCAAAGGAUGAAGGCUGUGCAACCACCUUGAGCAGCUUGUGCCACUACCCCAGUGUCCUCAUGGUGGGAAGUUUCAGGUUCCUUUCAAUACCACAUCCAUGGGACUGGAUAUAACAUGGAAUGAAGACAAUCUGCCUUAUGAUCUAACAAAAAAAGUCAUUUGGAUUCAGCUUCCUUGGGCUUUUUCUGUCUAACGUGGCUUUCGUGUCCCAUUCACCUACUGUCAGAACUCCAUGUAUUGAAUGGCAGCAACUAAUAAAACUAAAAAGAGA